CUCGACCUACGGGAGGCAGCAGUGAGGAAUAUUGGUCAAUGGGCGAGAGCCUGAACCAGCCAAGUCGCGUGAGGGAGUACUGCCCUAUGGGUUGUAAACCUCUUUUGCCGGGGAGCAACGGGCGUCACGUGUGGCGCCACUGAGAGUACCCGGAGAAAAAGCAUCGGCUAACUCCGUGCCAGCAGCCGCGGUAAUACGGAGGAUGCGGGCGUUAUCCGGAUUUAUUGGGUUUAAAGGGUGCGUAGGCGGAUCGUUAAGUCAGUGGUCAAAUUGAGGGGCUCACCCCCUUCCCGCCAUUGAAACUG
rnacentral:rRNA from 1 species